GAGAUAUUCUGUAAUUUCUUCCUCAGAAAGAAACAAAACAAAAUUCUGAUCUUCCCAGAUGAAGACAGAGUCUUUCUCUGUCACCCAGGCUGGAGUACAGUGGCACGAUCUCGGCUCCCUGCAACGUCCGCCUCCCGAGUUCAAGUGAUUCUCCUGCCUCAGCCACCCGAGUAGCUGGGUCUACAGGUGUGCGCCACCAUGCCUGGCUAAUUUUUGUAUUUUUAAGAGAGAC
rnacentral:lncRNA from 1 species